rnacentral:rRNA from 1 species
GAAGUUAGCGGCGGACGGGUGAGUAACACGUGGGUAACCUGCCCAUAAGACUGGGAUAACUCCGGGAAACCGGGGCUAAUACCGGAUAACAUUUUGAACUGCAUGGUUCGAAAUUGAAAGGCGGCUUCGGCUGUCACUUAUGGAUGGACCCGCGUCGCAUUAGCUAGUUGGUGAGGUAACGGCUCACCAAGGCAACGAUGCGUAGCCGACCUGAGAGGGUGAUCGGCCACACUGGGACUGAGACACGGCCCAGACUCCUACGGGAGGCAGCAGUAGGGAAUCUUCCGCAAUGGACGAAAGUCUGACGGAGCAACGCCGCGUGAGUGAUGAAGGCUUUCGGGUCGUAAAACUCUGUUGUUAGGGAAGAACAAGUGCUAGUUGAAUAAGCUGGCACCUUGACGGUACCUAACCAGAAAGCCACGGCUAACUACGUGCCAGCAGCCGCGGUAAUACGUAGGUGGCAAGCGUUAUCCGGAAUUAUUGGGCGUAAAGCGCGCGCAGGUGGUUUCUUAAGUCUGAUGUGAAAGCCCACGGCUCAACCGUGGAGGGUCAUUGGAAACUGGGAGACUUGAGUGCAGAAGAGGAAAGUGGAAUUCCAUGUGUAGCGGUGAAAUGCGUAGAGAUAUGGAGGAACACCAGUGGCGAAGGCGACUUUCUGGUCUGUAACUGACACUGAGGCGCGAAAGCGUGGGGAGCAAACAGGAU